rnacentral:tRNA from 1 species
GCCUUGGUGGUGAAAUGGUAGACACGCGAGACUCAAAAUCUCGUGCUAAAGAGCGUUGAGGUUCGAGUCCCACCACGGCU